UACGUAGGGAGCGAGCGUUGUCCGGAUUUAUUGGGCGUAAAGAGCUCGUAGGCGGCUUGGCAAGUCGGAUGUGAAAACUCCAGGCUCAACCUGGAGACGCCAUCCGAUACUGCUAUGGCUAGAGUCCGGUAGGGGACCACGGAAUACCUGGUGUAGCGGUGAAAUGCGCAGAUAUCAGGAGGAACACCAAUGGCGAAGGCAGCACUCUGGGACGUGACUGACGCUGAGACGCGAAAGCCAGGGGAGCGAACGGG
rnacentral:rRNA from 1 species